GAGAUGUCUUUACUUAACGAGUUCAAUAGCCAAGCAAUGACCAUGUCAUUGCACCACCAUCGUUGAUUCAUACCAGGUGAAUCUGAUGCUGUUAAAUGAUACGGAUGAGUAGAAUCAACAGCUUGGUUUGGUGAUGUUGAAUCUGAAGAAGCUGGAACAAUUGUUGGAUCAACUGGUGGAGUCAUUUUGAUACUGAUCUUUCAAGAAUGAAAGCAGAUUUGGAAAAGAAAAAGAAAAACGAGAGAAGAACAAGUAAACAAGUCACCCUCUAGCUUGAAUGCUCUGAUACCAUGAAGAGAUUUGCAGAAAUUAACAAGCUAGAUGGACAUUUUCGGAAAUAAAUUCCUUUUGUAUUUCUUCUCUGCUCUAUUACAAACUAUCACUAUGUAUUUAUACAUGUAACUAGGACCUAAGUGUAAAUAAAUAACUUGUGAAGAAAAACCUACAGCUGUAAGAAAUUGUAACAGAAAUAUGUACACCUAUUGUAUAUUCUAGAAGCAUCUGUGGAUAAGAAUAUUCCUAUA